CCUACGGGAGGCAGCAGUGAGGAAUAUUGGUCAAUGGCCGAGAGGCUGAACCAGCCAAGUCGCGUGAGGGAAGACGGCCCUACGGGUUGUAAACCUCUUUUGUCGGGGAGCAAAGCGAACCACGUGUGGUUCAUUGAGAGUACCCGAAGAAAAAGCAUCGGCUAACUCCGUGCCAGCAGCCGCGGUAAUACGGAGGAUGCGAGCGUUAUCCGGAUUUAUUGGGUUUAAAGGGUGCGCAGGCGGAGGUGCAAGUCAGCGGUCAAAUUGCGGGGCUCAACCCCGUACUGCCGUUGAAACUGCAAGCCUGGAGUGCGGGAGAGGUAGGCGGAAUGCGUGGUGUAGCGGUGAAAUGCAUAGAUAUCACGCAGAACUCCGAUUGCGAAGGCAGCAUAC
rnacentral:rRNA from 1 species